GAAAACAACCCAAAGAAGUGACCGAGGCGGUUGGGACGGAGAGAAGUGAGACGACGAAUUGGGAGUCGAAAGGCAGACCCAGGCGGGGCGUGUAGGUCUUCGAUCGUCGCAGCGUAGAUCGAUGGUUCUGGUAAAGAAGGCGGAGGAGGAGGAGGAGGAGGAGGGAAGCGGGGGCCGAUGGGCGUCUCCUUCAAUGGCUCCCGGGACGCGGAUCCAGCCAAAACCAAGAUCGAUGCCGGAGGGAGGUUGGACACUCUCGUACCUUGUCGAAGCUGGGUCGGAGCGCCCAGAUGUAGAUUGAUUGAGGUUGUGAGGCAACUUCUGAAUUUGGAUCAAGGAAGUUAAUGGAGCCUGACGUUCUGAAGCCUGAUCUGAAAUCUCAAGCACAGAUCCUAGUUUUGGAUCUCUUUAUCUUAUCAGGGUACAAUUCUUGAAUCUUUAUCUGAGAACUUGUUAUAAUCUAGAACAUGACUCUGAUCCAACCUGCAAUGUUGCAUGUAGAUCCACAUUUUGAAACUAUAGGUGGAUCGGUCCAAAAUUAUGUAAUUCUUUAACCUACCAAGAUUAGUCCAAGUCUGUGUUAAGCUAGGUUUAAGAAUUUAGAUUGCAGCAGGUCCUGAUGCAUUGAUCUCCUUCCUUGCCAAUCUUCCAGACUAGAUUGUAUCUAAUUCCUUGCAUGAUACAUAAGCAACUCAAACAAUAACAUCGUUUUGGGCCUCUAGGUUGAUAAAAAUGUUUGUGAUCUCAGGUUCAUGCGUAGAGAGAUGAUCAAUAAAACUUUGUUAAGGUAGAUGAAGAAGCAAGAUCGCCGGCUAGUACCAUUAAUAUAUUGUGAUUGACUUGUUCCAUCGAGAGAAUUUCCUUUUUAGUGUUUCCUUUUAAGGUCUACUUAUCCUUUUGCACUAUUAAUGGUGAACCUGUAAAUCUUCUUUGAACAUAUUCCUGACAUCAUAAUCUCUUUUGUUUCAGGUGAAGUUAUUUUAAUCAUAGACAAAUACAAGUUCUUUAUAAUAAUCUCACAGAUUAUCUCUUAAACAAUCUAAGAUAUAAAUGAAAGAUUAGUAAAAGAUAUUUAACUCAAAUGUACUAGUUUUUUGCACACAAGUACUGUUUGCUUGGGAGAUGUUUACAUUCCAAUUGGUAUGAUCUUCCAUGGGCCGCUGGAACCAAUCAAUGAGACCUCACUUCAGGUAUGUUGAUGGUGCUUCUGUCAACUAUACUAAAUUCAUUAAUAAGACUUUGCAGGCAAUAGGAUAAAUCUUUUUCUACCAAUUCUUUAACUGUCAUGAAUACUUUCAAGGUAACAAGUAAAUGAUUUGUGCCGAAUUUAAUCUGAUCUAAAUUUCUAGUCUCCAACCUAUUCCUCUGUCAUGCUACUCUACUCUCUCCUCACCUCUUAAAGAAAUUAACAGCAAGUUCCGGCUUAGUUUUGUGGUUGUUUCAGGAUGCACAAUCAACAACCAUGCAGUCUUAUGGAUUUUUCCUGGUUUCUUGGUCUCCAUAAUUUUUUUUUAUUAAUGUGAAUUUGCUUCUAAAUUUUGGUCUUAGUCAAAUCCGAAUCAAAUCAUGUUUUUCGAUACUUUGGGCAUCUGGUCUUAUAGGUUGGAGCUAGAAAACCAGUGGCAACUAUUUUCUUGGGAGCUUUGUUGUAGUUAGUUCCUUGUGGUUCUGUGGAAUUAUCUUAAUAAUUAUAUUGCACAAUCAUCAUGUCCAAUUUAAGGGGAUUGCUCCUUUGCAAUAUACUUGAAUAAUUGCAUGGUGGUGGACUUCCUAUUCUUUGAUUUAUCUUUGCUCCCAUCUAAAUAUUUUCUUAUAUAAUAUUCUUUUCUGAAGAGUCUUUACUUUCUUGAUAAGGAAAUUUCUUGAUUCUUACUAUUCCUAAUUCUUAAAAAUAUAGAAAUUUCAGUUCUCUAGAUAUAUGUUUUUCUUAAGAAUUCUUUCAAUCAUAACCAUAUAGAUAUUAUUUUCUGAUUUGCUUUGCCCUCUUUUAUCCCCUGCUCUACAGUAUUCGUCUUCUGUAAUCUCUCUCUCUCUCUCGGCAAAAUGGUUUCCCUCCAUCCUCCUCAUCUUAAACAUUUGCACCAUCUACCUCUCCUUAUAUGAUAAUGCUUUUGGACGUCUGUCACUCUCAUUGUGUUUACAUAACACUUAGUCUCUUUCUUGAUCUUUGCAUCCCAAGCGGACGUGACGCUUGACGGUCAUGGAGAUUCGACCCGCCUACGUGCCCUCGGGACUCCUUUAUCAACUACCUCGCUAGAGCGCUCUCUUCUCGUCUCUCUCCGGACGUGGGAGGUGGUGGCUUAUCGACGAUCGAGGAUUGCUUUCGGUGGUACGGGCUACAUAAUAUCUUGUUUCUUUUGAUAUCUUAUUUCGUUCUGACUUAUUCAAAUCUUGUCGUCGGCUACAACACAUAAAUCUUGGUAUCUUUGUUUUUGGUUGCCGAGGUAAAUCUUGACAUUCUUGAUUUGUUGGACGUA